AUUGAACGCUGGCGGCAUGCCUUACACAUGCAAGUCGAACGGCAGCGCGGACUUCGGUCUGGCGGCGAGUGGCGAACGGGUGAGUAAUACAUCGGAACGUACCCUGUUGUGGGGGAUAACUAGUCGAAAGAUUAGCUAAUACCGCAUACGACCUGAGGGUGAAAGUGGGGGACCGGAAACGGCCUCAUGCAGCAGGAGCGGCCGAUGUCUGAUUAGCUAGUUGGUGGGGUAAAGGCCCACCAAGGCGACGAUCAGUAGCUGGUCUGAGAGGACGAUCAGCCACACUGGGACUGAGACACGGCCCAGACUCCUACGGGAGGCAGCAGUGGGGAAUUUUGGACAAUGGGGGCAACCCUGAUCCAGCAAUGCCGCGUGUGUGAAGAAGGCCUUCGGGUUGUAAAGCUCUUUUGUCCGGAAAGAAAUCGCGCUGGUUAAUACCUGGCGUGGAUGACGGUACCGGAAGAAUAAGCACCGGCUAACUACGUG
rnacentral:rRNA from 1 species